GGCUAUAAGGUAAUGUACUUAUAAGCUACACAAGGUGGCCAGUACUCUAGAUUCAUCAAACAUUGCAUAUCAGGACCUAUUAUUCCAUUAAUGAUUUUUGUUACAGUGUAGGGAAAUUAGAUUUUCAUUUAUUUUCUUUAAUAUUUUUGUUUCAAAGACGCUGUCGUUAUUGCCACGUAUAAUUCUGAUUUAAUCAUUUCAAUUUGCCCAAAUGCUGAAAGCUUUGCUGGGUUUUGCUGCACGUGCUUUUGUCAUUGUUUUUGUUUUUUAAUUUAGCUAUAUGCUCCUACUAUUUUUACUAUUAUACUACUAUAUAUUUACUAAUAGUUUCAUGUGACGAUCAAUAACUUAUGCUCAAACAACAUUGUUCAUUUCCAGUAACAUUUUUCAAAUAUGAUUAUUCACAAUUGGGGGACUCGUUAAAGUUAAUUUGGCAUUUUAAUGAUUGAAUUUCAUGCUCGUUUAGCCUACGUACUACUUACUCACUGAGCCCUUUUAGGAAUUUGAAUUAGAAAAUAAACGGCAAUCGAAUCUGUACAAAAAGUGUAAUGUGAUUGAGAUAAUACACACGUGCACACGCAUACAUAUAUAUAAUUAUAUAUAUUAUAUAUUUAUAUAUGCAUAAAAUCUGGCAGUCUUCGGUGAAAAUGCAGGCAGGUUUACACUGUGUUCCGAUAUGCAUCACCAGCUGCAGCUGCUGCGAGCAAGCAAGUAGCUUUCCUGGGUUCCGUGGUUGUCCGUUCUCGUAUAUAUUGUAAUAGCAUUGUUGUUAAAUGUUCUCGUACUGAGAGAUUACUGCCAGUUGUGAUCAUAGAUACGAACCGUAAAGUGUCACAGAUUACGCAUAUUGUAGAGGCUUGCUGGCGAGUCUGUGAUUCACUUUACACCCUGUAUAGCAACAAUUCCGUAGUGGAUCACCCGAUAACUGCCUCUAAGUUGCGUUUUGCAUAGGUUGAAAUUCGUUGUACAAAUGGUGUAUUAGCAGAGAAUUAACAGGAAUUUAAUUUGCGCAUAUUUAGCAGGAGGUAAACUCGAAAUACCUCGUGCGUGGUCAUUGUGUCUGCAUCGGUGUUCAAUUCGGCGCAUUGCCAGUAGAAGAAGGAGAGAGUAGAUAUAGAGCCAGUUAGAAUUGGAAAUGCCUAAUUAGUGUCGAAUGCUACUGCAUUUUUCUUUUUUCUGUAAGAUACUGUAUAUUUGAUCAUGUUCCAUUUUGGAUGUGAAUGGCAAGGAUGUUUUUGAUCAGGUUGCCACGGAAGCAACAGCAUAACAUCAAGAGUUAAUAAUACCUCUUAUUAUUAAGUAUUAGGUUUAUUAGGUAUUAUUAGCUCUUGAUAACGUGUGUGUUUCAUGCGAGAUUAGCCGGUGUUAAAUUGUCGGUGUGCAGCAAAGCUGAACACAGCUGUAAGAGACAACUUCUACUAGCAUCUUCUUGAGUUACAUUUUCAUUAACCAAUUAAUUAUGACGAAGUGUGUUUUUGAUGCGUAGUUAGUUGAUCAGCGGUUCUGUGGAUAAUGUUAUUCACCGGUUGUUAUUAUCACAGUUUUGCCAAGUUUAGGAUGACUAACCAUGCUAUACUACUUGUAUGUUAAAGGCGAAACAAGGGUUACGUCAAUUCAUGAUAAACUUAUUCAACGCGUAACAUUGUCUGUGAGAAAUAUGUGUAAUUAGUGUACAGGCUUUCUAAUAAAUGUACUGCCUGUACGAAUGGCAUGCAGUACGACCAGUAA